rnacentral:lncRNA from 1 species
AUGCCACAGCUCAAAAGUUUCUGGCAAUGUCUGAGAGAAGAGAAGAUUCUCUCUCGUACUUUUGGAAGACAAGAAGUCUUUCGAAGAUGCUGGGGGUGGCCCAGAAGGCGGGCGGAGAAUGCUGAGGGCACCAGAUCCUGUGAAAUCUCCCUCAAAUCCAUCCUUUCUGCCAACCCCCAUUGCCACUACCUUCGUUUGGACACUUGCUACAUCUGUGGACCAUUGCCUGACAGGGGUAAGUUCCACAUCCCUAGUAUGGCAUACAUGGCCCUCUGUGCCAGUUCUGGACCCUUCUCUCCAAUGACAUCUUAUGUUUGUCUUCUGAUCUCACCGUCACUGUACUUAGACAACACUGUGCCUGGCAUAUACCAUGUUCUUGCCAGCUGGAAAACCACCACUACCUUUAAGAUCCAGCUUAAAUGUGUCUUGUUGCUGGCCUUGAGCUCAGUGUUCCUUGUGGUGGCCCUGGCCAUACUGUACUGUGAUGAGCUGUUUUCCUUUGCUCAUCUUCAAAACUGUUGA